rnacentral:lncRNA from 1 species
UUUAAUAAAAUACCUGAUUGUUUAUGAUUAGGUGUUUUGUUUUCAACAUAUUUGGAAUUAACUUGCCUUAGAAAAACAGUCUCUAUUAUUUGAUGCUACAUAUAGACACAUGCCAUAAUAGGAAGGAAAAUUAGAAACAAACUCCUAAACCAAAUAAUUGGUUGAUGGCUGAAUUGUCAAGUAUGGGGUUGUGGAGGUGACUAUGAGUUUUGAUGUGUUCCUACCUGCUACUAAGGGUAAAUCAGGAACUGCAUUGAAAAUCUGACUACACUCCGUUUGGCACCAAUUACAUUGGUUGAUGACUCAAUUCACAUAAAUAAUAUAUAUAAACUCUAUGAGUAAGUUUGGUUUCGCUAGCACUGAACUUAGUGGUUAUUGUUUAAAGUCCCGCUUCACUAUUUAAAACAACUGUUGAUGGAAAUUAGAUAAAAAUGAAUGAAACAAUAACUUGUUUACCUUUGAAAUAGUUGUCACUAAGAGACAAAGUCUCGAGCAAAGUCAAAUUUCCAAUUUCUGUAGGUAUACUUCCCUCCAAGGAGUUGUUAAACAAUGAUAAAAACUUCAGCUCUUUGCACUUGAAUAAACUAUUUGGAAUUCUACCGGAAAUUUGAUUCCAACCCAAGCCCAACAUUUCUAGUUUUGACAAAUUGCCUAGAGUAGAUGGGAUAACACCAAUGAAGUUGUUAAGGUAUAAAUAUAAGCCUUGGAGUUCAGUGAAGCAACCAAACCAUGAUGGGAUUUCUCCAUUGAAGCUAUUGUUACCAAACUCCAAAUAUUUCAUCCGACGCAAAUUAGUUAACUCAAUGGGUAAAGAGCCUUGGAAACUAUUUUGAUGAAUAUCGAGCCAAGCAAGGAAAGAUAGAUUUCCCAAUUGAGAAGAAAUGGUGCCUGUGAGAUCCAUGCUUGACAAAUUCAGAGCAGUGACUCUAUAGUGUUUAGAUCCACAUGUGACACCAAUCCAGCUACAAACGGAGGUAGAAGUAGACCAAUUGGUUGUCAAGAAAAUGUGAGGAUCAUGAGUUAUAUGAGAUUUGAGUGCUAGAAGAGCAGAUUGAUCAACGGUGAUGCUAGAAUAUUUUGCAGACAAAAUAACCCCAAAGAUUGCGAAUAGCAGCCCAAACAUAAAUGGAGGGAGGAAGCUUGGUUUUGCCAUAAGGUUGGACAUGGGUGUAAGGCGCAUCAUAAGGAGAGAAACAACCGAGUUUAAUACUUUUCUAAUGCUAGUUCAAUAUUCUUUAAAUACUUUUCUAAUUUGAAAAUUCGUCACAUGAAUUGAUGAGUCCCAGUUGGUUGGAUGGACCUACAUUGGUGUUUUUCAUGCGUUGAGCCAUUAUUAAUCUCCCUCAUAUUGGGUUGCCUUUUACACUUUCUUCCAUUCAAACAUGAAUUUGUAAAGUGGCCUCCUUUUUCACCAUUAAUUUCACACAAGCUUUCCACAAGAAAUGUUAUUUUAAGACUGCAUUAUUGACGUUUGGGCCAAACAAUGAAUUAUUUUUCAUCUAUCCUUUCCAACUUUUAUCCUUACUUAAUUUCCAUUGUUGACACCAUUUUUUGGAUGAAAACGGGGUUAACUUGGGUUUUGAAAAAUGAAACGGGAGUCGCCACCAAUCCUUUUUGAUAAGGUGUGAUUGGGUCACCUCGAAAAGUGGUUGUUUUAAUAAACGAUUUGAUUUUAUUAAAACAACGAUUUUGGUCUGCGAAAUUCAGAAAAAUAGGUUCGGGAGUCGGUUACGCACGAGGAAGGAUUAGCACCCUCGAUACGCCCAAAAUUGGUACCUAGUUGAUUAGUUAAUGUCUUAAUGUCAAAAAUUGAGAACUUUGAAAAAUUUUAAAAAUACGAUCCUUGUAUUAAAACGUUGAAAAUUUUCAAGAAAAGGGGGAUAUUUCACGUUAAUCGAGAAAGAGAAUCAUAUCCAGUAAGUUAGAAUACAAUGUCUCAAAUUCCCGAUACGCGAAUAAAAAAUGCUUAUUUAAAAGAUAUUUUAGCCAUCUCGAAUUUAAAAAUGAGAUCACGACCAGUAAGUUAGGACGCGAUUUUUUUUAAAAUUCCCGAGAUCAUUUAAAAUUUGAGUUUGAAAAGAUUCGUGCAUUUAGAUUUAUCGUGAAAAUCGAAACCUAGUAAGUUAGGGUACGAUCCUCUCGAAUCUAAACACGAAAUAUUAUUUAUUCAAAACAAAUUUUGUUAUAUCGAAUAAAAUAAAACACGAAAAUCGUAAAAAAAUUUUGAAAGCAAAUUACAUUGUUAUUAUGCAUAGCAAAACCAUAAUGAAUAUGAAAGUAUAAAAAAGUAUAAAAAAAAUACGAGCAAUAGCAACGAGAUAAAAGGUCAAAUCUACAACAUACAAAAUAACAAAGCAUAAAAACGAAUACAAUAAAACAUUCAUUCAAAAUAAUAAUAAGAGUGUAAAUGAAUAAAUAAAUAAAUAAAUAAAUAAAGAAAAUGAAUAGAAUUAUAAAAAUGUAAAAAGAUAUAUGUAUGUACCUAUAUAAAAAUAUGUAAGUAUGUGUAUAUAUAUAUAUUUAUAAAAACUAAAAAUAUGUACGUAUAAAUAUAUUAUGUAAAUGUAUCCACAUGAAUAUAUAUAUAUAUAUAUAUAUAUAUAUAUAUAUAUAUAUAUAUAUAUACUUUGAAAUUAUAAAAUAAAACAUAUGUACUUGUUUUAAAAAUAUUAUAAAAAAUUAUAUGGAAGUAAGUAUAUACAUAUUCGUGAGAAAAAAUAUAAAUAUAAAUAUACAUAUAUAAAUAUAUAUCUAUAUAUAUAUAUAAAAUGAGUAUUUAUGUAUGUAUAAAAAAAUAUAAGUAUAUAUGUACAUAUAAAAAUAUACACGUUUUAAUAUAUAAAAAAAUAUAUAUGAAUAGGUAUAUAAAUAUUCGUGAAAGAAAAGUAUAAGAGAAAUAACAGUAAUAUUAAUACUAACAAUAAUAGUAAUAAUAAUAACCAUAAUAAUAAUAAUAGUAAACUAAUAAUAAUAAUAUUUAAAAUAAUAAUAAUAAUAAUAAUAACAUAAAAUUGCUAAAAUAUGGGCUAAAUCGAAAUAAAAAUGAAAAUAUAGGGCGAAAUUGAAAGAAAAAUAAAAUAAAAUGGACUAAAUCAAAAUAAAAACAAAAGAAACUGGGCGAAUUCAAAAUAAAAAGGGACUAAAUUACAAAGCGCGCCAAAAGGGAAGGGAUCAAAUGGGUAAAUAACCCAACCGCCUCAAAACGCGGCGUAGCAGUGGGCCAGAUUGAAAUAAAAUUAAAAUUAUAGGGCUAGAUUAGAAAUAAAAGGAAAUAGCGAAAAGGACCGAAUUGCAACGCGCUUUAAAAUUGAAGGGACUGAGCGCGCAAAUAGCCCAUCUAAAGAAAACGUGCGGAUCCUCCCCCUGGGUCGGGUCACCGCGCGGGUCAAAGGGCCUAAAACGGCGUCGGUUUGUUGAUUAUAUAAAUAUAAAAAACUAAAAAAAGGACUGCUCUCUCAUUUGUUAAAAGAAACAGAGAGAAAUACUCUCUCUUUUUCUCCCUCAGGCUCCGGCUCAGGAGAUAGCCCGGCCUAGGCUUCCGGCGAGUCCCCGCCGCAGAGCCACCGUGCGUGGCGGCCGGAGGUCCAAAAUGGACCUUUUCGGUCCCUUUUUUGAAGCCGAGCAUCCCUAGGGUAUAGACCUAAGGCCAAACCCCCAAAAAAGAAGCCGGAGACCCGAAGAACGGGGAAAAAACUGCUUCGUUUCCUCCCCUCUGGCGCGGCGCUGGUAAGAUUUCUUUUCCUUUUUAGUUUUAUUAUAUAAAAAGAAACAACAAGAAUAGAAAAGAAAAGAAAAAAACGAAAUAGAGUUUUAGAUCUAAGCAAAAAUGAGAGAAAAUCACCUCUCAAGUCUCUUGUUUUUCUAUUUCUUCUAGUUUUUAAUAUGUUUAUUCUCUUUAUUACACAGGUGAAAAAAAAAGAAAAAAAAGCCCUCUGAAUGUUACACUACAACCGGCUUUUAUAGCCUAUUUUUUUGUUACUGUUUUCGGUCAUUUUCUUGCUUCUUCCUCCUUUGCAGAUGCAAGUGGCGAUGGGACGGUGGCAGGUGCGGCGCGGAGUGGCAGUGGCAGAGGCCAAAAGUCGUCUGAGCUAGGGAUAGGGGGCUGCGGCGCUAGGCUAGGGUUAGGUCUGUUAGAGCUGGUAGCUGGGUUAGGUUUAGGUUAGUUGGGCUUGGUUUUGCUGGGUUAGGUUUGUUAGGGUUUGUAAUGGGCCCGGGCAAAUGAAAAUUGGGCUGUACAGCUGCCCCUCUUUGCUCGUUGUCGUGUAACGAUAACAUAGCAAAGACUAAGAAAGACCAAUUUUUGCCCGGUCUUGCCAAGUCUUGACUCUUUUUGACGCUUCUCUUCAAGUAGCUUUAUUUCAAUUCACUGUGUCUUGUCGCGUCAAUCCACUCCACUGCACUUCAAAAAGAUGCGUCCUAUAGCUUUAAUCUUCUUCGCAAAAACUUUAGGGGGACGAGAUUUGGUUUUAGUCUGCUUCACUAUAACAUCAAGAAGAUAAGACUUGUUGUGGUAGAUUUAAUCCGACCUACUGCAACUUCAGAGGUAUAGGAUUGGUUUCUUCCGUCUGCUCCACUGCAACUCCAGGGAGAUAAGACUGGAUGCAAUCUGCUCUACUGCAACUUCAGAGAGAUAAGAUCUGUGAUUUUAAUCCGCUUUACUGCAACUUCAGAGAGAUAGGAUUGGUUUCUUCUGUCUACUCCACUGCAACUCAGGGAGAUAAGGGUGGUACUUUCGAUCUGCUUGACUGCCAAAUACAGGAAGACAAGAUCUGUUAUCUUCGAUCUCCUCCGCUACCAAAUACAGGAAGACAAGAUCUUCUAUCUUCGAUUUACUUCGCUACCAAAUACAAGAAGACAAGAUCUGCUAUCUUCGAUCUCCUCCGCUGCCAAAUACAGGAAGACAAGAUCUGCUAUCUUCGAUCUACUUCGUUGCCAAAUACAGGAAGACAAGAUCCGCUAUCUUUGAUCUACUCCGCUGCCAAAUACAGGAAGAUAAGAUCUACUAUCUUCGAUCUACUCCGCUGCCAAAUACAGGAAGAUAAGAUCUGCUAUCUUCGAUCUACUCCGCUGCCAAAUACAGGAAGACAAGAUCUGCUAUCUUCGAUCUACUCCGCUGUCAAAUACAGGAAGACAAGAUCCGCUAUCUUUGAUCUACUCUGCUGCCAAAUACAGGAAUACAAGAUCUGCUAUCUUCGAUCUACUUCGCUGCCAAAUACAGGAAGACAAGAUCUACUAUCUUCGAUCUACUUCGCUGCCAAAUACAGGAAGACAAGAUCCGCUAUCUUUGAUCUACUCUGCUGCCAAAUACAGGGAGACAAGAUCUGCUAUCUUCGAUCUCCUCCACUGCCAAAUACAGGAAGACAAGAUCUGCUAUCUUCAAUCUCCUCCGCUGCCAAAUACAGGAAGACAAGAUCUGCUAUCUUCGAUCUCCUCCGCUGCCAAAUACAGGAAGACAAGAUCUGCUAUCUUCGAUCUCCUCCGCUACAAAAUAGAGGAAGAUAAGAUCUGCUAUCUUCGAUCUCCUCCGCUGCCAAAUACAGGAAGACAAGAUCUGUAACUUCAUUGAUCUGUUCUUUGGGGAACAUGACCUGUAUGUUCUAUUUUAUGAACCUAAUUGUGCCUAGUGAUUAGGAUGACAUGAUCAGAACGAAUCAAAUGCUUCUAACUAGAUAUGUAUGAAUGACAUUUGAAUGAAUGCAAAAUGUCAUGAAAAUGAUUCCUUAAUGCUUAGGUUAUCAUCACACAAAAGCUUAUUAAGGUUUUAUCACUGACGUACUACAACGCCUUCUUGCUCGUCUAGCAUAUCCAAAGAAACACUUAAUCUGAUUGCCCCCACUGUGAACGUCAAAGUUCAAUCCAUUGGGAUGUAAAAAUGUACCAUCAUUCUCCCACUGUAACCCAAGGGUAGAAAGAUAUGGCUUUUCUCAAUCUUCUCCUAUCGCAAUUCAAGGAUACAGAAUGUGAAGCUUUUUGGUUCUUUUACCCCAUUCCUCAGGUGUCAUACCAAAUGCUCAUGCACAAUUGCAAAAUUUUCUUCUCCGAGAAAACCUUUUCUUAUCACAUGGUGAUCAUUGCUUGUUUGUUCAUUGAAGCUUUGUCACUAACCCGGCAUCUUGUCAUUUUGUUCAAUCAAUGUUUGGACAACAAAAUCUGAAAGGAUAGUCUUUAACUUAGACUCUUUCUUCUUAGAUAUUUCACCUUUUAAACUUGGUGUUUUCUAAACAAUAGUCCUGUUUCAGGUUCCUAUAUUUUUUAGAAACUUCUAGAAUAAUAUGCAAAACUUCCAUUGUGAAAGUAUCAUCAUUCUAAUGCAACAUGCUUGCAAGAAAAAUAUAACGAUGGAUAAAAUAGAAUUGAUUUGAGAGCAUAGCUCGAAAUGAAUAAAUUAUCAAGGAUAGCAAGAAUAAAAAAAGGAAUUGAUUGUAACAUGUAUCUUGAAAAAGAAAGAAGUAUUCCAAGAAUAACAAAUUCAAUAUAUAAAUAAUAUGAAUGUCAGGUGCCCCAGAAUCGCAGCUUGAACUUCUCUGUACAAACUUUCUGAAGACCUUUCUGAGUUUGACAUGUGUUUAGGAAAUCUACAGGACUUUGUGGAUGCCCCAAGAUGUCACCUUACCCUUUCAGGUAUAGCAAGAUCACCACAUGCCCCAUUCUGAUCAAUAUUUGAGCCGCCCUUUUCGGGUUUUCAACUCAAAUCCCCUUUGGCCUAAGAUGCCCUUUGCAGGUUUUUCCCUUAGCCUCUCAAUUUUCAUUUUUUCAUUUUUCAAUUUUUUUCAUUUUCAAUUUUUUUUCAUUUUUUUGACUCAAAGUACCCUUUGCAAGUUUUCACCUUGGUCCUUCCUUCUUCUUUAAACGAAGUGUUUCUUAACUGGAUCCGAGUUUAUAGGAUUGGCAAUCUCACUCAAGAUCGAAGUGUUUCUUAACUGGAUCCGAGUUUAUAGGAUUGGCAAUCUCACUCAAGAUCAGUGCUCCUCUGAAAAUGAUCUUCUUUACAACAUAGGGACAUUCCUGGUUUGACAUUCAUUUCCCUUUAGAAUCCUUUCGUUAAGGAAGAAUCUUUUUAACAUCCAGCCUUCUCGUGGAAUUCUCUAAGAUGAGCCUGUUUAUUAUGGGCUCAUAUCAUUUAUUUCUAGUACAUCCGACCCUGAUGAAUAGCUUUUAACCCUUUUCCUAGGGCCAACUGAUCACAUCGUGAUUGGAUCCCUCCAACAAGCAAUGAGGGGAUUUUAAUAGGUAAAACUACCUCAAUCCUGUAAACCAAAAAGAGAGGUGUUGCCCCAGUACAGAUGUUCGACAAACAAUGAGGGCAAAUGAUAAUUUCUCAUGCCAGUCCUUGUUCACCUCUAGGUAAUUCGGUGACAAAAUGUGGUGUCUGCUUCUAAAUUGAUUUCAGACCUCAGUUAUCAUGCUAUUAUUUAAGUUUAAUGCAUUUUCCAAUACCAUCCUCUCUGAAAUUCUGUAUCGGUAUAGGAUGACCUUGAUCCGUGAAGUAGCCUCUCAAAAUGAAGCAAUGCCCAUUAGAAGUCUUCGAUAAUGGUGAUGUCCAUGCCCAAUUUUACUCAAAAUUUGAGUCGCCCUUUUCGGGUUUUCAACUCAAAUCCACCUUUGGUCAAAGAGCCCUUUGCGGGUUUUCGCCUUGACCUCUCCUUUUUUCUUUUUCUCUUUUUUUUUUUACUUUGAUUGAUUGAUUUUUUUUUUGCUUUUGAUUUUUCUUUUUUCUUUCCCCCCUUUUUUUUAUGGAAUCUGAACUCAUAAGGUUAGGCAGGUCCUUGUUAUCCUUUUCGAAGGAUCUUCUUUGAUCCAAUUUCCUUCAUUGAGCCUUCUAGGGCGAAACUACAACAUAAAACUUUUGAUCUUCCUCUUUAAUCAGGAUAAAAUCCCACAGAACUUGAAGAGAUAAAAGUUCAACUUCAAAUGGGCAAAGCUAUGCUGAGUCAACGAGAGAGGCAUUGCCCCGACAAAGAAUUGCAUCGUUCGCACUAUAAAUUUCUGACACCAUGCUGUUGUGCAGAUUUCAUUAUCAGCGAUUAAUCUGGGCAUAUCCUGGUAUGAUCAUACAAAGACAUCUUUGAACUCUAGAGGUGACUCAACAAGGUCUUGCUUCGUCUCUGCGGUCAGGUCAAUUCUAAUCUUUACCACGCUCACAAUUUCUAAUGAUUCCUUGUGAGGUAUGAUCUGUUUAUCCUCUUGUUCUACCAUCCUCAACAAGCUUGGAGAUAAGCUACGAUCUAUGUCAUCUUCAAAGUCGUGAGAUCCCUCUAAACACAUGUCUCGCUCAAAAGGAGAUUCAAAGUCUGUAGUAGUGUCAUUCAUGUCGUUGAUAUUCAGGGACCUAUUGUAGGUACAAGAAAAUAUACAAAGAAUGUAUGAAUUUAAGAAUAAUUAUCUGCACAGUAUGAUUAUGAAUGAAUGAAAGAAUGAUUUGGAUGAAAGAAUAAAAAAAUAAUCAUUCAUAAGAAAUGAAAGAAUAUUGGUUCAAAAGUUCGCAAAGAUGCAUUGCAUUAAAAUAAUGACGUUCAGAUAUGAGCCUAUUUCAUGAAAGACUUCUUGUUGCCUUUAGGCUGAAAGCAACAAGUGUGUUCUAAAUAUUACUCUGGGUAGGCUACAAAGAUUUCUUCUGCAGUCUGAUUAUUUAGAACACUCCCAAGUUUAUAAGGGCGAAUAUCUAAUGAGGUCCCUUCUCCAGUUGCCUCUUCGUAUCCGGCACUGAUGUAAACGUUUCCCAACAUUUCUUCAUUCAUCGCAUUCCUUUCAUUAUCCGUAUGAUUGAGUAGCAGACUUUCUGUACUGAGUGAAUCCUCAAAUUUGACAAUGCCCAUAUUGAUAAACCUUUCGACUAGCUUUUUAAAGGCAGUGCAAUUUUCUAUAGAAUGCCCCGUAAUUCCUGCAUGAUAGUCACAUUGCGCAUUUGUGUCAUACCAUUUGGGUUACGGAGGUUGUAAAGGCUUCAAGUAAAAAGGGGAGACAACAUGUGCGUCAAAUAAACUCUGAUAUAGCUCCUAGUACAACAUUGGGUUUGGUGCAAAUUGAGACUUCUUAAUGCUUUGCUUUAUGCCAGAUUCUUGUCUUGGGGAUAUCUGAUGGCCAGUAGCAAAUGACCUUUGCUGACCUAUGGUAAUCGGCUUUGAAUAACCCUCGUUAUACCUUCCUUCAUUAUUCACCUCAUUUUUCCUCUUCCUCGGAACCUUUGAAGUAUUGCUUUGGGAGUUCCGCUCUUGCCCUUUCUGUUUGUAACGGUCUUCAAAUUUUUUUGAGAACUCUAUUCUCUCCUGUUUUGUUUCUGCUAGAUCAUUAAUGACAACAGGAUUAGUUAGAUUGCCUCUAGGAUUGGAAUCUGAGCUCGUCGCGAAAUUCACCGCUGUCAAGGUAUUGGUCUGGUAUUGUGGUCGGACGUUAACAGUUACCCUUUGUGGAUAUGCAUUUGGUUGUGCUUGGAUGUUGGUUGGGGUAAAGUUUGGAAGAUAUGCAGGACCUUCAUUAUCAUUCCCAAAGUGGACCACUGGGUUUUUUCCUUUUUCCAACCUCAUAUCCAAUAACUGGGUUAACUGGCUCCUCAGAUUUCUUUGGACUUCUAGCAUCUGAUCCUUCAUAUCUUGCUGAAACUUGGCCAAUUGCUCUAGCAUCUGUAUUUGCAUUUGCUCUAAUCUCUCCAACCUUUGGUCCAUUCAUUUAGUUUUUUUGUUCGGGUACCACAAGAAUGUUGGUUUUCCAAGUUAACUGAAAUAAUUUUAUUCAAUUAGAGUCUUUUAAUGGUCCUUAAUGCACAUGAUGUUAUGUAAUGCAAAUGCAUGAAUGCAAAAAGAGACAUUGAUUCUUGGUUCAAUUCUUAUUAGAACAACUUUACUAGAAAACAAAUCUUUUUACAUAAAGCGGAUAUAUAUACGGCCUUAUCCUUAUAUUCUAAGACAACGAUCCUUUUCUUCCUUCGCGCGUUAAGAUGAAUCUCACGAACUCUUUAAAAGGGACGUCUCUUUUAUCUUGUUUUUGCUUGAUCCGGGCCGCGACUCGUUGCUUGCUCAUCCUCGUUAUGCUCAUUGGCUUCUCUUUAAGAAAGUUCAGCGGCUCUCGAAUAAUCUUUGUCACCUUGAAUCCUCGGGCAACGGAGCAAUAGUUGUGUUGUCCUCUAUUAAACUAUCAUCUUUCUCUUGUUGUGUUUUCUCGGAACAUAUUCGGGCAACCGUAUUAUUUUCCACUUUAUCAAAAGACCCAUUUUCUUAUGACAAGCUCUCUAUUUAACAACCGAACGUGAAUCAACACCUCUUUUUACGAUGAAAACGCAAUGCAAUCAUCAAAAAAAGGAAAAUAGGUUAGUACAAAGCAAAAGUAGGCAAGAAUAAACAGAACACCUAUUUGGGUAAAUACUAGGGGUUCAAUGUGGUUCUAGCUAGGGUGGACUCCUAAGGUUCACUACAUGAGGUUUGGUUCUAAAGUAAGGGUACCCGAACCAGCAGAUUCCUCGAUCCUCACCCAUUAUUGGCUCAUAUAGAUCGAGUUCGGUUCAGGGGAAUACAUUUCCCUAUGGCUACAAGGAGAUGAAAAUCUCACGAAGACAUAGGUACGGAUGUAUCCCAAAAGCGAUCCACUAUCCUGCACGGAGGUGAAAACCUCACGAAGGAGUAGCUUUUCACUCCCACUUAAAAGGUGUGACCAACGGUCAUGCAAUGCAAUGUGCAGAGAUAUAAAAAUUUAAAAUACAAAACAUGAUAAAAACUAUAACUCAAAACAAAUGAAAUGCAAUGAGAGGAUCGUAUAUUUAAAUCAAAAUUUCAACUUUCGACAAAAAGACAAGAAAUAAUCAACUCGUGGCUUGACUCACUUAUUUUAAAAUCCCCAGUGGAGUCGCCAAGCUGUUGACACCAUUUUUUUGAGGAAAACGGGGUCAACUUGGGUUUUGAAAAAUGAAAUGGGAGUCGCCACCAAUCCUUUUUGAUAAGGUGUGAUCGGCUCACCUCGAAAAGUGGUUGUUUUUAAUAAACGAUUUGAUUUUCUUAAAACAACGAUUUUGGUCUGCGAAAUUCAGAAAAAUAGGUUCGGGAGUCGGUUACGCACGAGGAAGGAUUAGCACCCUCGAUACGCCCAAAAUUAGUACCUAGUUGAUUAGUUAAUGUCUUAAUGUCGAAAAUUGAGAACUUUGGAAAAUUUAAAAAAUACGAUCAUUAUAUUAAAACGUUGAAAAUUUUCAAGAAAAGGGGGAUAUUUCACGUUAAUCGAGAAAGAGAAUCAUAUCAAGUAAGUUAGAAUACAAUGUCUCAAAUUCCCGAUAUGUGAAUAAAAAAUACUUAUUUAAAAGAUAUUUUAGCCGUCUCGAAUUUAAAAAUGAGAUCACGACCAGUAAGUUAGGACGCGAUUUUUUUUAAAAUCCCGAGAUCAUUUAAAAUUUGAGUUUGAAAAGAUUCGUGCAUUUAGAUUUAUCGUGAAAAUUGAAACCCAGUAAGUUAGGGUACGAUCCUCUCGAAUCUAAACACGAAAUAUUAUUUAUUCAAAACAAAUUUUGUUAUAUCGAAUAAAAUAAAACACGAAAAUCGUAAAAAAAUUUGAAAGCAAAUUACAUUGUUAUUAUGCAUAGCAAAACCAUAAUGAAUAUGAAAGUAUAAAAAAAUAUAAAAAAAAUAUGAGCAAUAGCAACGAGAUAAAAUGUCAAAUUUACAACAUACAAAAUAACAAUGCAUAAAAACGAAUACACUAAAACAUUCAUUCAAAAUAAUAAUAAUAGUGUAAAUGAAUAAAUAAAUAAAUAAAUAAAUAAAAUGAAUAGAAUUAUAAAAAUGUAAAAAGAUAUAUGUAUGUACCUAUAUAAAAAUAUGUAAGUAUGUGUAUAUAUAUAUAUUUAUAAAAACUAAAAAUAUGUACGUAUAAAUAUAUUAUGUAAAUGUAUCCACAUGAAUAUAUAUAUAUAUAUAUAUAUAUAUAUAUACUUUGAAAUUAUAAAAUAAAACAUAUGUACUUGUUUUAAAAAUAUUAUAAAAAAAUAUAGGGAAGUAAGUAUAUACAUAUUCGUGAGAAAAAAUAUAAAUAUACAUAUAUAAAUAUAUAUAUAUAUAUAUAAAAUGAGUAUUUAUGUAUGUAUAAAAAAAUAUAAGUAUAUAUGUACAUAUAAAAAUAUACACGUUUUAAUAUAUAAAAAUAUAUAUAUGAAUAGGUAUAUAAAUAUUCGUGAAAGAAAAGUAUAAGAGAAAUAACAGUAAUAUUAAUACCAACAAUAAUAGUAAUAAUAAUAACCAUAAUAAUAAUAAUAGUUAAAAUAAUAAUAACAAUAACAUAAAAUUGCUAAAAUAUGGGCUAAAUCGAAAUAAAAAUGAAAGUAUAGGGCGAAAUUGAAAGAAAAAUAAAAUAAAAGGGACUAAAUCAAAAUAAAAACAAAAGAAACUGGGUGAAUUCAAAAUAAAAAGGGACUAAAUUACAAAGCGCGCCAAAAGGGAAGGGAUCAAAUGGGUAAAUAACCCAACCGCCUCAAAACGCGGCGCAGCAGUGGGCCAGAUUGAAAUAAAAUUAAAAUUAUAGGGCUAGAUUAAAAAUAAAAGGAAAUAGCGAAAAGGACCGAAUUGCAACGCGCUUUAAAAUUGAAGGGACUGAGCUCGCAAAUAGCCCAUCUAAAGAAAACGUGCGGAUCCUCCCCCUGGGUCGGGUCACCGCGCGGGUCAAAGGGCCUAAAACGGUGCCGGUUUGCUGAUUAUAUAAAUAUAAAAAAGGACUGUUCUCUCAUUUGUUAAAAGAAACAGAGAGAAAUACUCUCUCUUUUUCUCCCUCAGGCUCCGGCUCCGGAGAUAGCCCGGCCUAGGCUUCCGGCGAGUCCCCGCCGCAGAGCCACCGUGCGUGGCGGCCGGAGGUCCAAAAUGGACCUUUUCUGUCCCUUUUUUGAAGCCGAGCAUCCCUAGGGUAUAGAGGCGCUCAUGGGCCGGGCGGCCCGGCCCGGCCCGAGGGCCCGCCCGAAAUAUGGGAGGAUUUAGGUAAAAAUAUAGGCCCGAAAUAUGGGCUUGGGCAAAAAAAUGAGGCCCGAUUUAAAAAUCGGGCCGGGCCUCGGGCACCACUUUUUUGACCCGGGCCCGGCCCGGCCCGGUCCGGCCCGAAUAUAAUAAAUAUAUUUAUUUUUUAAUUUUAAAAUACUUUUAAAAUACUUUUUAAAAUUUUUUAAUUUUAAAAUAUUUUAAAAUACUUAUUUUAAUUUUUUAAUUUUAAAAUAUUUUUAAAAUACUUUUUAAAUUUUUUAAAAUUUUAAAAUAUAUUUUUGUAUUUAUUUAAAAAUAGGCCGGGCCAGGCAGGGCCCGGGCUUAUGAAUUUUUUCCCGGGCCGGGCUUGGGCAAAAUUUUAGGCCCAUAUUUCGGGCCGGGCCGGGCCCGGGCCUAGAACCCCGGCCGAAUUUUUUUAUGGGCCCGGCCCGAACCCGGCCCGGCCCGACCCAUGAGCACCUCUACUAGGGUAUGGACCUAAGGCCAAACCCCCGGAAAAGAAGCCGGAGACCCGAAGAACGGGGAAAAAACCGCUUCGUCUCCUCCCCUCCGGCGCGGCGCAGGUAAGAUUUCUUUUUCUUUUUAGUUUUAUUAUAUAAAAAGAAACAACAAGAAGAGAAAAGAAAAGAAAACGAAAUAGAGUUUUAGAUCUAAGCAAAAAUGAGAGAAAAUCACCUCUCAAGUCUCUUGUUUUUCUAUUUCUUCUAGUUUUUAAUAUGUUUCUUCUCUUGAUUACAAAGGUGAAAAAAAAAGAAAAAAAGCCCCCUGAAUGUUACACUACAACCGGCUUUUAUAGCCUAUUUUUUUGUUACUGUUUUCGGUCAUUUUCUUGCUUCUUUCUCCUUUGCAGAUGCAAGUGGCGAUGGGACGGUGGCAGGUGCGGCGCGGAGUGGCGGUGGCAGAGACCAAAAGUCGUCGAGCUAGGGAUAGGGGGCUGCUGCGCUAGGCUAGGGUUAGGUCUGUUAGGGCUGGUAGCUGGGUUAGGUUUAGGUUAGUUGGGCUUGGUUUUGCUGGGUUAGGUCUGUUAGGGUUUGUAAUGGGCCCGGGCAAAUGAAAAUUGGGUUGUACAUCCAUUUUCAAUUAUUCUUUGUUUGAUAAAUCAAUCAAAUCAUGUGCUGCUAAAUUCUACUUUAAAUCUUGUUCCGCCAUUCAUCCGUUGGUAAACAUCAUUCGUUUUCCAUUUGUUAAUAGGCUUUUAUCGUGUUCAUUUAACUACAAUUUUUUUUUUUAAAUUUUGUCACUAACAUUUUUGAUCUAUUAUGUUUUAAUAACUCCCAUUUAAACCAUUUUCAAAUCCUAUCAAUUUAAUCUUAAUUCUAAAUAAAUAUUUAACAAAUUCAACCUUUCACAUUUACAAAUUCUAUUUAUAAAAAAUAAUUUAUUAUUUUUAUAUUUUAAAUAAGAAAACAAGCAUAAACAACUUAUAUCAUAAAAUCAAGAUUAACAAUUUAUUUUUUAUAUUAUUGCUUCUCAGUUUUCAAUUUUAUGGCUUUUAAUUAAUUUCUAUUCAAUAUUAUAAUUUUAGUUAGGACUAAAUUGAAUAAAAAUUUAAAAUUUAAAUAUCGGAGUUUGUUUAUUAUACCUUAUAUAUAGAAUGUCAAAAUAAAAGAGUCUUUGUUUGUAUGCUAGCUGUACAAAUACACAACCUCGUUGUGUUACCAAGCUAGUGAGUGAUCUGAGAAGCAUGUCAGUUCCGAAUGAAAACAAAUAUAUUUUGUAUUUUAAAGGUUGAAUUAUAUGGUGGGUCUUCUAUUUUGGUCAUCAAUUUUUUAAUUUUUUUAUUUAGUAAUUAAAUUAGUUGAAAUUAAUAUUUUUAUCACUGAACGUUAACAAUGGUUUGAAAUUUGAUCUAAGUGAUGACAUGAGUUUUUUUAUUGGUCUAAUAAUAAAUUUAGCCCUCUAAUAUUUAUAUAUUCUAUCAAUUUGAUCCUAAUUAUAAAAAAACUUCUACAAGUUUAGCUUUCAAUGUUUACAAAAUUUGUCAUUUUAUUUCAAAUUAUAAAAAGUUUAAUAAAUUUAGCCCUUAUGACAAAUUUUUGUCUCUUUUAACCCUUCAACUAAUGUUGUUUGUCAAACCACCUCAAAAUAGAUGUUGACAUGGUAGUUCACAUCCAUGCUAUGUCAUCAAUUGUUUAAAAAAUUAAAAAAUUUAUAGAAAAUUAUUUAAAAAUUCAAAAACAAUUAUAAAGUGUUUAAAAUUCAAAUGUAUAUAUAAAUUAUUAAAAUUUCAAAAGAAAUAUAUAAAAUAUAAAAAAAUAGUAAAAAUAUUAUGAAGCUCACAUUUCUAAUAGGUAAAAGAACUUUUCUAAGUUUUCACUUAAAUAAACAAAGCUCUCUUUUCUUCUAACCCUGGGAGCCGCUAUUACUAACAUUGACACUAGUGGCUCCUUCCAAUCACUAUCAAUGACCUUUCAAAUCUAAAAUCCUAAAAUAUCAACACCAGCACUAAUGGCAUAUUUCAAACAAGGUUGAGACAAGUUACCAAAUCCAAAAUCUAGAAAUAUCAAUUGACAAUGCUUUUAACCAACAUGUCAUUGGAUUCUUUUUAUCUCUUUUUUCACCAACGCUCAAUCGGUUAUUGUAAAUGGCUUUAUUGAAAAAAGGUUAAAUGUGUUUUGUUAGAAUGAUUGAUUAUAGUAUUGUUUUUAUUUUGGUUGAAUCAGUUGGUUUAAAAUUUUUAAAGUGAUUGAUUUCUAUUUUUAGUGUUUUUAUUUUAGGGUUGUGAGUUUUUGAGAUUAAUGAGCAAAAACUAAAACUGAGACUAUUGAUUGUGUUGAUUAAUGUUAGGGAUAAAAGUUUUUGGUUUUUGUUCAAUUUUGUACUACUUUUAACUGAGAUUAAAACUGAAAAAAAAAUCAAUUUUCAUUCAUCAGUUUAUCCAAGAAAAAUGUUCUUAGUGUUUGAUUUCUAUUUUUUGUGUUUAAUUGAAUAAGUGGUUUUAAAAAAUUUCAAACAAUUUAUUUUGUUCACUUUCAAUUUUCAUUCAGGCUUGAAUUUUGCUUUUUAUUUUAUUUUUUUAUUUUUGUUGUGCAUUGAUGAAGUUUUUAGAGGCUAUGGGUAUAUUAAACAAAGAAAAAAAAUGGUGUUAAUAAUUAAAAAAUUAAAACUUAUAAAAUAAUUAAGAAAUUAAAUAAAAACAGGAAAAAAUUAGUGAAGUAGCCGUAAAGGUAGAAUGGGAAGGAGGUGCUGGUGCAUGUGGUAUGAUGAGUCGCAGUUGGUUGGAUAGUGUUUUUCAUGCGUUGAGCCAUUAUAUUGGGUUGGUUUUCACACUUUCUUCUAUUUAAACCCGAAUUUUUAAAGAAUGACCACCUUUUUCGACCAUUAAUUUCACACAAGAAAAGUCAUUUGAAGGCUGCAAUGCCAGCACCAUUAUUCACGUUUGGGCGAAACAUUGAAUUAUUUUUCAUCCCUCCAUUGCUUCCACUCUCUAUCCUUACUCUACUUUUUGUAUAUUUGAAAUCAAAUUCUUAAUUUUAAUAAUAUGUAAACCAUAAAUAAAUUAUUUUUAUCAAUAAUCAUAAUAUCCAAUGCUUAAACUAAUUUAGUUUAUUUGCUCUGAGAAAUAUCUAGAGACUAGAAUGUUCCCCAUUUUCUGUCAAUCAAGAAAGAAUAUUUGAAUACAUAAGAUUUUAAUAAUGUAUAUUGUUUCAUAGAUGCAUGCAUUUGCAUUUAGGAAAUCCAAAGCAGAACAUCAUACCAAUCACAAACGCAACAUCAAAGCAAAAAACAGAAUAGUAAACAAAUCUUCAGCAUGCCAUCACCCUCCCAUGCUUUAGCAAUAGUAAACACAAUUUUUAAACUACUUUCUAAGUCUCAUUUUAAAAUAUUUAACCCUAAUCUUUUAACAACUAUUUUUUCAUAUUUUAAUAUUAGUUCAAAAUUUUUUAUUAAAAAACUAUUUUAAUAUUUUUAGAGCUUGUUCACUUAUUUUUAUAAAUUUUGUAAAAUUAAUCUAUGGAUUUUGUAAAACAAAUUGAUGGAGCUUUGGGUUUAGUUGGUAUUAAAUGAUGAAGAGAAAAUUGAAUUUUAAAGUCCCAAAAUACUAAAUAGCAAGACAGCUAUUUUUUUCCUCAGCCAAUAAAUAUAUUUAUUGAAAAUAAAGACAAAAUAUUGCCAAAAAAAGUUGCAAAACCCAAACAAAAGAACACAUCACGUAGGCAAAUACAAAGGACAAAUCACCAAACCAAAGCUCCACAACACCAAAACAUGAUGACUUGUAAACUUCUCAUAACAAAAAAAGAAAAAAAGAGAAAAGAAACUCAACCACCAUUUGAAGCCUAUGAAAUUUUCUUUUUAGAAAAAGAAAAAGAAAAAGAAAAUCUCAAAUCUAACGAAGUAUUAAAUUUUACUAUCAAAAUAGUAGAAUAUUGUCUUACAUGUAUAGGUUUAAAUUUAAGUUAUUUGUGAUGUAUACUCAAGUAAAUAAUAAUGUGAUUUCAAAUCAGUUAAACAAAUUUAGGGUAAUUUACACCAACAGCCACUCAAUUUUGGGAUAGUUGACAAAGCAACCACUUAGGUUUCAAUUCAGUCACUUAACUUUCAAAAAAUAACAAAGCAGUCAUUUUAACCAUUUUCUGUUAUAGACGUAACGAAAAGGUGACAUGGCAAAUGAUGGAUUCCUUGUUGUCAUUAACCAUCUAGUUGGUCGGUUAGCUCCAAUUUAAACAGCCCAUUUAGCACUAAUUUAGGGUUUAGGCAGUAGAAGAAGAAGAAGAGGAGGAGGAGGAGGAGGAAGAGGAGGAGAGAAAAAAUAGAGAUGCCGACUGUGACUCCGGUGUGCUAUUAUAGAAACCCAACAAAAUUAAACACGUCUUGGUCUAAUGACAACCCAGGUAGGAGGUUUUUUGGGUGUAAGAAGAUUGGGAGUGGGUUUCAAAAACCAUGUCAUUUUUUCACCUGGUUUGAUCCACCACUGAUGCCCCAUGUUCACAAAUUUUGUUGUUGGGUCUUCUGAAAAAGUGAGGACAUUGGAGGAUGCAAGGUGGAGGGAGAGAAAAACAUGGGUUUUGGUGCUUGUAUUUGUAAUAUUGUUGUUGUUUUUUAAACCCUAAACCAGCUUAUGUGAUAGCUGAUGUUGUUGUUGUUAACACUAAAAACCAACUUAUGUGGCUGUUGGUAUCCUGUUUUGUUAUUCAUUCAUGGUUAGUGGAAGCUAAGGGUCCUAAAUGUAAUGGUUUGUAAAGGGUAGAAGUUUGCUUAUGGACUUGAAAGUUGAAAGACUAAUUGUAAUGGGAGAGUAUUUGGUUGUUGUAAUGGUCUGGUAUUCUCACAUAUUUGUAUUUCAUUUCAUUAGAUUUUCUGAAUGUUUAAUCUUCUUUUAAAACUUGAAAGAGUAUUUAGUUAUUGGUUUUUAUUUUCUUACAUUGCAUGGAUCAAUGCUUAUAUGUUAGAAGAGAUAAAACAGAUGGAAAAAAGACAGAAACACAUUAGUUAGCAUUAAACUUCUUUCAUAUAUUAAGGGCAAACUAUUGCCAAAUUCGCCUACAAUUAAACAUAUUUGAAUUGUAGGCAACUUUACAAAAUAUUUCAGUGGCUAUAUACCUAAGUUUAGAUAACAGUAGCAAUCAUAGGCAAAUUUACAAAAAAUAAUCUGCCUAAGCUAAGAAAUUAGUUGGUGUGUCGUUGAAAGCACCAAAUAUAUCCUAACCCUAAAUAACAAAAAGAUAUAGCAUAAGGGGAGUAGGGUCAAAUCCUCAAGGAUUGGAUCAAUACAGCUUAUUGUUCCUCGAAAUCCUGGGCAUAGUCGUGCCCAAGAAAAAUGUCUGACCUGGAAAAAAAAUUUUAAAAAAUAGAAUUAAGAGUAUGGACGAGUUGAAAUUAAAUAAAUUGAAACUGUAAUUGUGAAAAGAAGUAGAAUUAAGAAAAAGGGAUUUUUCAAUUGAGGGAUUCUAGCAUCUGGUUAUCUCGAUCCUCCUUUGGUUCAAUCAUAGGCUUUUAGGUGAUCUUUCUCAUGACUGAAUAAGCUUGUUAUAGUGGAAGAAGACACCUAUAACCACCAGCUCCACUUAUGUUAUAGCUUUACGAUCUAGAGGAACCUGACUCUAGCCAACCGUCACUUUCGUGGGACCGUCUUACACUAGAUCAUCGUUUCUCAAUGGCGAAUUCGUCUCUUGGGCUAGACUACCUCUGAUGCAGUAAGUUAGUGAACUAACUGUGAGCCUUUCCAAAACAUACAAAGCGGCCGCCUUUGUACAAGAUGAAAAUAUUACUUUUGGAAGGACAUGGAUGGAAGCGUUAGUCCCAUAAUGCGGAGAAAUGAUGAAUACUCGUUGAGAAGGAUUAAGUACGGGUUCUAAGCCUAAUGAACUCAUUUUGAGGAAUCUUGAUAACAUUUGGCUAGACAAGUUUAAUGACUCAUGCAUUUUGGGAAAAAAACACAAGUUUUAAUGAAAUAGAAUUUUAUUGAAAAAGAAACAAAAAGGCUAAGAGCCUUAGGGGGAAGGAGUUUUUUUUACAAAAGUGUUGAGUGAAUAUUCAUGUCACUCCAUCCCCUAUUUAUAGUACAUAAAAAAUCUAGUUUGUUCCUAUUUAAACUCUAUAUGAUAAUAUUUAAGAGAUAUAAUUUGAAAUUAAAUAUAAACAAUAUAAUAAUUCUAACAAUAAUCCUAAAAAUAAAAUUAAAUUUAUACAAAGUCUUAUGUUCAUAAAUCUCUUCUUUGAAAUUUUACCCCAAGUCUUCUACACUUUGUAUUUUCAGCAGUACUUCUUCCCUAUUUUGCAUGCUGACCCGUUUUGUAUUUAAAUUCACGUUUUUUACCCCUAAAUUUCUUUUUACCUUCAAUUUAGUCCCUAUAAGAUAAAAAAGCAUAAACAACCCAAAUUAGUGGUAUUAUACUCAAUAUAUAUAUGUAAUUAACACAUAAAAGUAUGUCAUUUUCGAGUAUUAUCACUAGUAGCAGGUAUAGGUGUAGAAAAAUUUAGGCAAGUUCAAGAAGUUAACAAAAGAACGUCCUAUUCACAAUGUCAUCAUUGGUCUGUCACGGAUGACUCUUGAGUAGAAGGCAUCCAUCUAAUAGUGGUUGGUUUCCUUUUGAAUGGAAGAUUUCCUCUUGGAGCAGCAUCUUGUUGGUGAGUUGGGGCAACCUCCUUCUGAGUUGGGGUAGUUUCUUGUUGAUUUGAGGCAACCACUUGGUUGUGAACACCAAAUUUGUGUCUUUUGACCUAAAGGAAUAAGUGAAAUCCAUCAAAAAAAUUGCAUUUAUAAGUAAUAUAAUGGAGCAAAGGCAAAUGACUUACUAGAAUUUUUGCCAACUUUCUCCUUGUAACUCCUUUUAUUGUGGCCUUUUUUGUUGCAUUUACUGCACCUCAUUUUCGCCCCUCUCUUGGUCAACCUUUCUAUUGCUUGUGGUUUAUCAGAUUCUUUCCUUCUCACCUUAGUAGGUCUGCCACGUGGCUUUCUAAGUGUAGGAGGCAGUAUUGACAGCAUGUUUGACAUAGAUGCCCAUUACUUAGGACCGCUUAUUGGCCUUAUGAAAUUAGAGUUAAUGGCAAGCUGGGUUUGCUUUGUGUACCAAGUUUGUUUAUAAUUUUUUGGGAACUCAUCUUUUAGAUGAAUGACACCCACUCCAUGCAUGCAAGGGAUGCCAAUGAGAUCCCAAUUCCUGCAGGAGUAGGAAUUCUCAACUAGGUCCACCACAUGCUGACUACUUGGAUCACAUUCAACCUGAUACCUAUCUCCACCAACAUGUGAAGGAAAACACCUAAAAAAUAGUCACUAAAAUAAUAUUAAAAACAUGUGAUCAGCCCCACCAACAAUCAUACAUAAGGCAUAAAUAUAUUAAAAAAUGGCAAAAUAAAGACAUACAUGUAUUGGUCCAACAACAUGUGAUCAACCCCACCAGCUAUCAUAUACAAGGCAGAAUAAAGGCGUCGAUAUAUUAAAAAAUUAUCUAUUUACCUCAGUGAAUCUUUGAUAUUGACAUCUAGCUUUUUCUUGAUCUUUGGACACAAGAUUCUUUUAAUUUUUUUAGCUUUUUCUUUCUUCUUAACAAUAAACAACAUAAUCUUGGUCUUAAUUGUUUCCAUCAUGGUCAGAAUAGGUUUCCCUCUUACUUCCAAUAUCACCUACUAGUAAGUAACAUAAAAGAUUAGUGAAUUGCAUGUCCUUAAUGAUUAGUAACAUAAAAAAAAUAGGGGUUUACCUUGUUAAAACAUUCAAAAAUAUUAUUCACCAACAUGUCAGACUAGCUCCUAAUUGAGAAGUGGGACCUUGACCAGUGAGUAGGGUUCUUUCCUUCAACCAAUCAUAAGCAUGUUGAUUGGUAUUCUUCAGUUCAGCUAUGAGAUCCUCAAAAUCCCUUGGAGUGCUUGCUCUGGCAGCUUUCCAAAGCAAAUCUUUCAAUUUCUUUGUUAGGAAACCAACUUUCUUGAAAUUUGCAUGUAGAUGUCUAAGACAGUGUCUUGUUUCUACAUUAGGAAACAACAGAUAUAUUUUUUCUAAAAAUCCUUCAAAUAGAAGAAAAAUAAUUUAAUUCUUUGACAUAUCAUAAACCCUAAAUAGAAACAACAUAAAAACAAGUAGACAAAUCAACUAGUAUUACCUUUUGUUUGUCAGACAUGAAAGAUAUAUGGUAUGAGCUCACAAUUUCCAAGUCUAAUGCGAGCAACUCCAAGAACCAGAGCCAUGAUGCUUAGUUUUCACUUUAAACAGUAGCAUAUGCAAUAGGAUAGAUGUCAUUAUUUGCAUCUAUUCCAACAGCUUCCAGUAGGUAGCCACCAAAGUAGCUCUUCAUGAAACAUCAAUCUAAACCUAUUAUCCUCCUACAAACAACCCUAUAGCCAUCUUUGCAUACCUGCAGACAGACAGACAUUCUUUGAAACAACCUGUUAUCUAGAUAAUAGAUUGUUGUUGCUCUCUCAUUUUGGGUCUUAACGUCCAACAAAUACUCAUAAAUCUUCUCAUAUUGUGCCUUAUGAGCUCCUUCAAUUAAUUCAAAUGCCCUAAGUUUAGCCCUCCUACAUUUGGUUAGUGAGACAAGUCAAAGGAAAUCUUUUUUGACAUCUUGUUGCAAUGAUGUCAAAGAAUAAUCAGGAUUAGCAAUGAACUUUUCUUUAUAAUGUUUACCUAUACAAGCAGACGUUACAUUCUUAUUUUUAUAGACUUGAGAGCAAAUAUGGUUAGGGUUUGAACUCAUAAUUUGCCAAGUCUGGUCAGUAGAGUCACUAGGGUUUAGUCUAGAGGCCCAUCUGUACCAAAAACAUUUUGAACUACAAACUGCCUUUAACCUCUUUAGAUAAUAUUUUUGGGAACUUAAUCAAAUAACUAUUCAACCCACCAUACUACUUGGCAGCUUCUUUUAGACUAUCUUUGGACUUAAAUAACAUUCCAACCUUUAGUUUAGGACUACUCAUGUCAUUGUCUAGGUUGAACUUAGGCCAAUUUAGGCCAUCUGAGUCAUAUUCAUGUGCAUUAUUUAACCUCUCAGAAUCAUCACUAUCACACAAUUCCCUUACUUCUAUAUCAUCCAUGUUUAAACCAUUUAGAUUAACCAUAAUCCUAUUAGACAAAUCACUAUCAUAUACAUCACUAACAGACACAUCAAAAUUAGACAUUUCUUCUUCAGUCUCAUUAAAAUUAUCAUAAAUUAAAGAUACCAAACAAAUUUAACAUCAAUAAAGGAAGACAACAACCAAACAAUUUAAUACAACAUGACAGACAAUAACCAAUACAAUAUAAAAGCUAAAGAAUAAAUUUAAUCCAAUUCAUAUUUGAAACUAGGAACAGAUUUCUCUAUAACCAAACAAUAACCAAACUUGAUACUGUUACUCAUAAAAAUAGGAACGAAUUUGUCUCUUUCCUAAGGCAAUUCGUAUGCAAAUGGCAGACAAUAAGUUACAAAAAUCCAAUCCUACAAUUCAGUUUGAUAAAAACAAUAAACAUAUUUUCCAUGUACAUUUAAAAUACUCAUAAAUCAUAUUUGAAUAGUUAAAUUAGUUUGAUACAAACAAUAAACAUGACAUACAUAGUAUCAUGCAUAUGGCAAACCAUACAUAGUAUCUACCAUUCACUUUAAUAACCAGACCUAAACCCCAUGUGAAUAACAAAUGAAAUCAAACUUUGUCAUGGACUUUAAUAACAAAUGAAACCAAAAUCUGGCAUAAACCCUAUUUGAAUGCAACAUUUUUCAACUUUUAAAUCUAGACAACCCUAAAUGCAAAAAAUAAAAAACCAAAUACAGAAACUUACCCAUUACAGCGGAUGUAACAACAUUGGCAACUUCUUUUCUAUUAACCAAUGUGGCUAAAAACCAAAAACACUGAUAAGUUUCCCUUUUUGUCUUCUUUUCUCCCCAAACAAAAAAAACAAUUGAUUUCUAACCCUAAACCCUAUUAAUCAAUUUCCUAAUGGAUUUUCUAACCUUAAACCAACCUUGUUAAUCAGUUCUCCAAUAGAUUUCUAACCUAGAACCCUAUUAAUCGAGUUUCUUUUCCUCCUCCCCUUAAUCACAAUCAAUUUCUAUUUUUUUACCCUAAACCCAUCUAUUAAGUUUUUUUUCCCUAAACCCGAGUCAAACCUUGACCCUUCCAAUGCUUCACCAACGUGCAAGUUAAUUGGCCACAUCAGCUAGUUAACUUGCCACAUCAGUGGUCUUAUUAAGACAGUAAUGGAAAAUGUUAAUAAGUGACGUAUUUGUACUUUUAAUAAGGUUAGUGGCUGAUUUGUUAUUUUUCGAAAAUUGUGUGACAGAAUUGAAACCUGAGUGAUUGUUUUGUCAGUUACCCUCAAGUUGAGUGAUUGUUGGUAUAAUUUACCGAUAAAUUUAUAAUUACUUGUGGUUUUAUAUUCAAAUUGAAUCUUUUAGUUAAUUUUAAUUUACAAAGGAAAAAAUUUACGUAGGGUCGCUUUUACAAAUAAAACAUGAACUAUUCUUUCAUAAAAACACUUUUAUAGUGUGAAAAGGACAUGAUUCUCAAUUGUAUAAGUCAAGGUCUUUUGUAAUUCGUAUUAAUGCAUUGUUUAAUAUCAACAAGGAAUCUUUAGCCCCUUCUUUCUAUCUAUGUCUUCCUCUCAUUUUCCUUUGAUGUGAUGGCUUAAACUAUGUAGAAUAACCAAUAAUUAUACCAAAUUCUAUUAAUUUUUUUUUAUAUUUGAAAUCAAAUUCUCAAUUUUAAUAAUAUGUAAAACAUAAAUAAAUAAUUUCAACUUAAAAUAUAUUUUAAUGAAAACGUGUUUGAUGGAGAUCCUCAACAUAUUCUUCACGGUUGCUCCUAAAUUCUUUCUAUUAACCCCAUUGGAAACAUGAAUUGAAAGAAUGACCACUUUUCCCUACAUUGGCGUUUUUCAUGCGUUGAACAUUAUUGGGUUGCCUUUUACACUUUCUUCCAUUCAAACAUGAAUUUGUAAAGUGGCCUCCUUUUUCACCAUUUAUUUCACACAAGCUUUCCACAAGAAAUCUUAUUUUAAGACUGCAUUAUUCAUGUUUGGGCCAAACACAGAAUUAUUUUUCAUCUCUCCAUUGCUUCCACCCUUUAUCCUUUUCAACUUUUUACCUUACUUUCCAUUUUAAUUAUUCAUUGUUUUAUUUAACAAAAUGAUAUAAUACCUGUUAAGUUGUUCUUAGAAAAAUUAAUAAACGCGAGAGAAAUAAAAUUUCGAGGUGAAAUUUCACCUCAAACAUAUAAUUAAAUUUAUCAAAAUUUAUUAACAUUUUCUAGCAAGCCAUUAAAUUUUUUUUUUUUAGCAUUGUAGGCAUUUUUUUAGCACUAAACACAAAAAUAUCAAAUCACAAAAUUCAUAGUUGUAGAGGUAUGAUUAGAUACCCGCCUACAUUGGUCCCCAUUAUAUGUCACUCAAAAUCUCAUAAUCAUCCCCAAAAAAAUUAGAAAUUAUCACUUCAGUUAAUUAAAGCAAGAACAAAUAAAUUGUUUGUUAUUUUGAUCACUUAGGUUUUAGACAUUUUUAUUUUGAUUACUCUUUAUUAAAUGGUUAAUGAAAUUUAUGAUGUGAUCUUUUUUCUAAUUGAUAUAAAUAACACAUUUAGUCCUCAAUACUUACACAUUCUAUCAAUUUGAUCUUUAAACACAUAUAAUUAAAUAUAAAUUAUAUAUUAUGAAAACGUACAAAUAUAAUUAUUUAUAUAUAUAUUUAUCUGAAUAAUAUUAUAUGUGUUUAUAUUUAAGUAUAAUUAUAAGGCUCAAAUAUGCAUUUAGCCCCCCGAACUUGACACAUUCUCCUAUGUUGGUACUUAUGAUUUUUUUGUCCCAAGUUGGUACUCAAAUUUUCAUUCCGUCAAGGGCUUUGAUGCUUUUUUUUUUUUGGUGACAAUAUUAAAUAUAGGACGCAUGACACUCUUAGGAUGCCAUAAUCUAUUUUUUUUAUAAAAAUAUAAUAAAAAAUUUAAAAGAAAAUAUAUGAAAUUUAUAUAAUUUUUUAAAAUAUAAAAGAAAUUAUAAAUUAUAAAAAAUAUAUGUAUCUAAAAAAUUAAAAAUAUUACAAAAAUUGAAAAUAAAUCUAAAAUCCAAGUUAGAAAAAUAAAAAAAACCUGAAAAUUUUACACCUUUUUCAAAAUAAAUUGUAAACAAAUUAGAUGAAGAUAAAUUUUACAAUAAAUUUUAUGCUUAGAGAUAGGUACAAAUUAUUACACGAUUUUCCAAGUUAACAAGAAUGCAAAAGAUGAUGAUUUGAAAAAGGUUUACCAGAAGCUUUUUCGUUUUCCUUUUUUUUUUUUUGUUAAUUAUUUGCUAGGUGGUAGGAAAAAUCUGGUUCCUUUGUUGAUAAUACUAUUAGUAUGAUCACGAAUGAAGUUUAUAAAAAUAACAAAUUUACUAAGUUUUUGGGGGUUUUGAGUUUUGUGGUUUACAAAUUUAUAUAUAAGUUUAUCAACAUUUAGUUUUAUGUGUUGAAAUAUAUUUAUAUUUAAUUAUAUGUGUUUGAAGAUAAAAUUGAUAUAAUUUGUAAAUAUGGAGGGUUAAAUUUAUUGAAUCAUUUUGAAUUAGAAUUAAAUUGAUAGAAUAUAUAAGUAUUGAAGAAUAAAUGUAUUAUUAUAGCAGUUAGAAAAGGCAACAUCAUUGUUAACUAUUUAACGAAGAGUGACCAAAAUAGAAAUAAUCUAAAAUGUGAGAAAACAAAAUAGAAAUGAUCUAAAAUGUUAGUGACUAAAUUAAAAAUUUUCAUAGUUGGGUGACCAAUUCUAUAGUUUACCCUAGAUAGUAGAAGCAAUUAGGAUUAAUUCCACCAAACAUCUCAAACUAUUACUCAUAUUUUAAAUUGCACCCUAAACUUGUAUACAUUCUAAUUAAAUCCUCAAAUUAUCAAUAUUGUAUCAACCAGGUCCUUCUGCCAAUUUAGCUAUCAAUUUGAGCAUUAAAUGUCAGUUUGGAUAUGAUGUAAAACAUAUUUAAAACACGUGGUUGAAAUUGUAAAUAUGUAUGUAUUUAUCACAUGGAUAACUUUGAUAUCACAUAUUAAAAAAACAACGGCAAUAACAUUUAAGAAUCUUUUUCAUUUUCUAAAUAUAUGUUUAGCAUGUUAGAUUCAAGUAGUUUAUGGAAUAGAUGCAAACAUAUUUACAAUUUGAUCUACAUUUGUGCUUUUAAAUAUUCUAUAUGUUAGAUUUAAAGGUGUUCAUUGGUUGGGCUUGGACUUAAGUUUUUAACCUUGGGCCAGCUGAACUAGGCCCAUUUUAUUAUUAAAAAAUAAAAAUAAUUUUAUAUUUAUAUAUUUUCAUAAUUAAAUUUUCAUAAUUUUACUAUCUUUUAAAUAGUGUAAUGGGCUAUUUGGCCAAGCCGAACCCUAGCCUAGAAUUUUUUUUGAAACCGAACCUAUGUUCGAUUUAAUCUAUGAACACUUCUAAUUAGAUUCACUUAUUAUUUUUAAAUUAACAAUUAAACUGACAAAAAGACUUAACUGAUAAGAUUUUAAGAUUCAAUUACAUGGUUUCAAAAAUUUAUCACACGAAGUUACAACAAAAAGUUAAACUUUGCGUACAACUCUGUUGUUAGCUUGAUUGAUUUCUUACUACUUAUUAAUAUCUUUUGUUACUUAACACAUUUGACUUGAAGAUAUUUAUAGCUAUUUCAAAUACUGGAUUUCCGUGCACUUAUUUUUAUACUUUUCAUUGGAUUAAUUAUAUAUUUUGAGAAAAUAUAAUAUUUGAUGCUAACUAUUAUAAAUAAAUAUUAAUAACUCUCGGAUUUAAGAUGUUGAGUUUAAGGGUUUAGGAUAUAAAGUCUAGGGUCUCAUGUUUGUUUAGGGUUUUGGCAUUUAUUUAUAGAUAAUUAUGUUUCAAUAAAAGUAUUAGUAUUCAUUUAUAAGUUUUCACUAAUUUUUUAGUUUAUUUAAUAAUGAUGUAUCAUGUUAUUAUUCACUGAGAGUGCAAAGAACUUAUGCACCAAUGAUACAUCAAAUAUUAUCUAAAAUCAAAUUUAUAAUAUGAGAAAUCCUUUUAUAAUAAUUUGUAAGAAAAAAGUUGUCGAAAAUUUUCCACUACUAAUUUUAGAAAUAAUUUCUGAAUAUAUUUAUCCAAUUAAAUAUAUAAAAAUAGAUGAGUAUGGUGAUAUCUAUAAUUUCACAAAAACACUUACAUUGAUCUAAAUCAAGUAAUUUCUUUUUAUAAAUUCAAUUCCAAAUCUCUUCCGUAAUAAAUCAACCUCACAAAAUAUAUAUCCAACAAAUCUGGUUCAGGUUAAAAACAAAGAACACAUGUAUUCAGCAAUUAAAACCAUGAUUCAAAUUCAUUUCAAAGAUAUAAUUUUGCAUUAUUUUACCUCCUUUCGUUCUUGACAAACUCUUUGGAAUAAGUUAACCAUUCUUGGAGUAUCUAUUCCUUAUUGAAACUUUUUGGGUUUUCUUUUUUUACUAAGCAAUAUCAAUUUUAUUAAAAAGAUAGAAAAACAAACUAUACAAACCAGUGCAGCUAGCAAAAACACAUCAGAGAACAUUGCCAUGAGAGAGGACCUAAGAAAACAUAAUACAUACUACAUAACAUACAAUAAAGCACCCACACAAAAAAUAUAUUAAACUGCUACAGAAAAAGGCCUGCAUACCACCAAGCUACGAAGUUUUCUGUUCUGUUUGCAACUUGUUGACCUCACCGAAGAGUUGGCUUCUCUACCUUUUUGCAAAUCUUUGUCGAACUCGCUCGACGAUCUUGAUCAACCACCAUGGUUUUCCUGUCGUGAAUACAAUGUAUCCCAUGCUCAUUCCCAGAACCAACCCACAUCCAUACCCCAUCAAUAUAGAAAAUUUCCAAUUCAAUUCAUCACCAUCAUCAUCAUCUCUAUCAAAUUUGGCUGGAGUUUCCUCAUCAGUAUCACAGCUUUUUGAUAAUGGCAAACCACAUAAAUCCAGAAUUCCAAUGUAGGAAUCAUUAGUGAAGGUAUCAAAUUGUUUGCCUCGAGGAAUGGGUCCCUUGAGAUUAUUUUGAGAAAGGUUUAACACCUCUAAGAAUCCAAGAUUUUUUAGCUCUGUCGGAAUUCUUCCUUCCGAGUUUCUUUGUUGAGAGAUCUAAUGAUUCAAGCUCUGACAAAUUACCUAAAGAUGAUGGGAUAGGACCUAUUAAACAGUUAUGGGAGAGGUUUAGGACAAUAAGUAAAUGAAGCUCACCAAGUAUUUUUGGAAUUUCUCCCGAGAAUUGAUUACUAGAAAGGUCAAUAAUCGUCCAAAUGGAUAAUAGUGAUUCAAACUCUGUUUCCAACUUUCUUGUCUUUUUACCAAGUAUAUCUUUCAUGUACCCUGGUUCAACUUUCUUUCCAUACCAUUGCAAUGAAGGUGGUGGUGUUUGAAUUCGGCCUUGGAGAUAAAAUUAGAAUAGAGUUAGAAUUAAGGAUUUGAAGAUUCUUUGGAAUAUAAAAUGCAAAAUAACUACAUAUUUUAUGUAAUACAUGUAUGUUGUGUAUAACCAAUAAAAAUAGUUGGUACUACACUACUUCUAACCAUUUUUAGAUGCACGAGAACAAUUUUUAAGUUUUAAUCUAUCGAAAGAAUCUACUACAUUCUAAACUAAAUUUUAUUUCCAUUACUUAAAAUAAAAAGAGAUUGCAUAAAUGUAUACAAAUAUUAAAUAAAAAUAAAAAUGAAAUUAUACCUAACAGUUUGUUAUAAAAGAGAUAAACAUAUGUAAAAUAAGUCAUGCACUCCAUUUCUUUCUUAUUCAAAAAUAUCAACUAUGGCUGAGCAACAAUUAAUUCAACACGUAAAUAAUAAGGCAACUCUAAAGGGUAGUAGAAAUAGCUAGUUACAAGUCUAGUCUGUUUCAAAAGGGUACCAAAUUAAAAUUAUAAUCUUAAAUUAAAUCAAAAAGUAUCGAAUAAUUAAUGGAAUUUCAGCUAAAACAUAUAAUUAAAAUUGUCAAAAUUUAUUAUUAUUAUUUUUUAACUGACCUUAAUUUUAAUGCGGAUAGGUAUAAGUCUGAAACAUAUAAUAUAUACUCUGUUUCUCUGUAAUCAAACCUAGAACUCAUGUACUCUGUUUCUUUCCUAUUCAAUAAUAUCAACUAUGGCUGAGCAACAAUUAAUUCUAACACAUAAAUAAUAAGGUAAAUUUAAAGGCUAGUUACAAGUCUUGUGUGAUUCAAUAAUUUUUCACUAUUCUGUUUUCGAAAGAUAGCAAAUUAAAAUUCAAAUCUUAAAUUAAUUUAAUGGAAAAUUUAAUUCUUUUCUCAUCAUCAAAUAAUUUUACUUAAAGAAAAUACAAGUUAAUAGAGGUUAACUUUGUUGACUACAUGUGGAUUGCAACAUUAAUAAUUAAUAAUUUUUAAAAAAAAUUAAAAUUCAAAAAAAAAUUACUAAAUAUUUUAAAUUAAAAAAAAAUUAAGUAAUCAUUAAUGUGGCAUACACGUGAACUGCCACAUGGAUGUCAUGUCAUAAAGUUAAUAGAUGUUAACUUUUCUAUUCAUUUUGAAAUAAUUUGACAAAAAACAAAAACAAAAAUUAAAUAGAUGAUUAAAAUAACUUUUUUAUAAACUUAAAGGACCAAAUAAGUCAAUAGGUCAAAAUUUUUAUAAACCAAGCCAUUACUAUAUGGAUACAUGGAAAAAAAAAAAACAAACAUUUUUGCACAUACAGACAUAUUUUUGAAAAAUUAACUCGGAAACCACGCCACAUGACAUUCAACAAAUCAUUAAAUCUUUUGAUCAACCAAUGAAUUUUUUUUCCUAAUUUAGGAGACUCAAGUAUAGAACCAAGGAAGUUGUUGAUUACGGUAUAAGAAACGGAAACUAUCAAUGGUGUUAUUGGUGAGGAGAAAAUGAAUGUAAAUCCAAGAGAAGUGUUGAAUUAUCCCACGUUUUUUUAAAGCCAAAAGUAAGAUAUUUAGGAACUAAAAGUUUAUAAAACUAAUUAAUAUUAUAUAUAAAAUCUAACCAUAAGGUUAGGUGAGAUGGCAAGGGUCUCUUCUACCUUAAUAAGUGGUUGAGGGUUAAUGACCUACAAAAAAAAAGCAGCGGACUUAUGGAGAAAGUUAGAAACCCUAUACUUGACAAAGUCUCUUCCUAAUCAUUUGGUGCUAAAGUAGCGGCUAUACACAUUCUGUAUGGUAGAAGAUGAGUCCAUCAGGGAUAACAUCAGUGAGUUUUUUUUCUCUCUUGAAUGAUUUGAAGAACAUCGAGGUUCAUAUUGAUGAUGAAGAUCAGACUAUGCUACUACUGUACUUUUUGCCCCUUCAAAUAAGUCUUUUAGGAAGACCCUGAUUUAUGGUAGAGAUAAACUCUCGCUCAAGGAUGUGAAGGGAAACUUGUUGAGCAAAAACAAACUCAACAAUGAGUUUGGUUCGAGUAGCAGGUCAGGUUGGCAACCCUCAGUGUUUGUUGCGAGAAACAAGUUUGGAUCAAAGUCAAGGAAUCAAGACAAGGUAUGUGAUUACUGCAAGAAGUUGGGUCACAUUAAGGCAAAUUAUUAUAAACUGUAAAAUAAAAAUAGGAGGGUUGCUGAGAGCAAGGAGAAAGAAGUAGUUGAUGCUAAUAUGGCCGAAGUCAAGGGUAAUGAUUGGUUGUUGGUGUCUACAAUCGAAAGGUCUAAGUUUACGUCCGAGUGGAUCCUAGAUUCAAUGUGUUCUUUCCAUAUGAGUCCUAACAAGGACUGGUUUUCCACAUACAAUUAAGUUGAUGGUGGAGUUGUGCUUAUGGAAAAUAAUUCAUCCUGUAAGAUAACUAGUGUUGGUACCAUUUAGAUCAGGAUACACGAUGGGACAGCCAGGGCACUAUCAAAUGUCAAACAUGUGCUUGAUUUAAGGAAGAAUCUCAUCUCUUUGAGUAUGUUAGACUCAAACUGUUGUAGAAUCAUCAUUUAGUCAAGCGACAUUAAGGAAUUUCAUGAAGCUCUCAUUUUGAUGAGAGGUCAAAAGACCAACAGUCUAUAUAUUCUUCAUGGUUCAAUUGUGACUAGUGUAGCAGUAAUUUCCUCGACAAUUAUGGAGUCAAAGUCGACUCAACAUUGGUAUAAGAAAUUUGACUCUUUCAGGUUAAGCAUUGGUUUUGCAAUUAAGAGUCUUUUACUUUUCAAGUUCAGACACUAGUUUGGACUUGGUUAGUAUCCUGCAAAGGUCCAGAUAAGUCGUGACGGACUCAAAAAAUGAGGUAUGAGAAAAUACAAGUCAAGGUGGAGAUUUGUGGAGUGUGCCUCGUACUUAUGAUACGACAUUGUGGCAAGGAAGAGACAACGCUCCAACGACGCAACACUCGAUGUCUCAACGAGAAGAAAACGAUGUGACGACUUGUUUCCCAAUUCAAUCGAAUUUUUUCUCCUAGUUAAACGCUGCUAUUUUUCCUAAUCAAACUCUGAUUAGUCUAGGUUAUUUUAGUCAUAUUUAAUUUACAAAUUUAUCUUACAAAAGGAGCCAUUGUAACCUAGAAUAAUCACUUCAGAUUAAUCUUCCUCAUCUUUAAGAUUGAGAGAGUUUUGUGAGCUUUUAAGUGAAUUUGGGUUUUAGCUAGAGUGAUUUAUUUUUUUAGGUUUAGGGUUUCUGUUAAGAAUAUCUCCAUCUUGUACUUUUUUAGUUUUUGCUCAUUAAGUAAAGUCUGUUUUGUUUAUCAUUUUUUGUCCUCUUCAUUGGAGGAAUUUUUCCGUGUAGAUAUUUGUAUGUUUGAUCUUCUUUACUUUUAUUUUCUCGCUGUUUAUACAGGUCGAUCUCCCCCCCCAAAAUACUACUAUGUUAAGAAACUAAAAGAUUGAAAAGUUAAAAUAAACUAAAGCAAUAUAUUUAAAAAAGAAAACGGAAAAAAAUUUAUAUCGUAAUUAGAUCUUUGUGCAAGUUACAAUGAAUGAAAACAAUUUUAGAUUGUUUUCUCACAAACACUGACUUCUAUUCUUAUCUUUAGAUUGUGUUUACCUUUAUCGCCUACUUCACUAUUACUCAUCUUUCUUGUUAAGUCAAUCUCUAGGUUUUGAAAUAUAUGAAACAAACAAUAUAUAUAGAUAUAUCUUUCUGAAAAUUUUACCAUAUAUGGUCACCAUCAAACAUAAGAACCAAAGAAAAUUAUUACUUUGAUUAAUUCAAGACAAGUACAAACAAUAAUUGUGGAUGAACAAAUACAAGAAUCAAAGAAAAAUGAUGGAUCAGAAGCCAAGAUGAAGCCAAUUUCUACCAUAAUAUUAAGGUUUGAUGUGGGUAUAAGGCAAAUCAUAAAGAGUGGAAUAACUAAAUUUAAUAAUUUUUAAUCAUUCUUCAAAAUCUUUAAAAUUUUGAUUCCAAUGAUUUAGGUACAACAUCCCUUGACUUACAAUUUAAGUAAAAAAUACAUAUAACAUUGUGCUUAAAAGUGUUCAUAAAUAAAGUGGCUUGACUUUCUAUGAAUCAAACUCAAAUUUAAUUUUUUCAACUUUAAAAUGGCCCAACCCAACUUAAUUUAAUUGUUAAAAAUAAAAUAUGAUAAAUGUAAGCCCAUGAACACCUCCAAUUGCACUCUAACCACAAUAUUACCCAACACAAAAUGAAAGCGUAAAAUGCAAGAGUUAGGCAAUAGUGGCACUAUAAUUAAGGCCCCAACUAGAUAAAAACAGAUUCAAGAUAGCAAUGUAAAUAAAACAGAUUCAAGAUAAGAAUAAGAAUAAGAGUUCUUCGGGUGUGUAACGGAUGGGGGUAGGAUUUGUUCUGAUGUGAUAUUUGUUUAUGAAUAAAUGGAGUUUUGUGUUGAUAUUUGCAUAUGUGCAUAUUAUAAAUAAAUUUUGUAAGUGGGCCAAGUCACACACUAGACUUCUAGCUCACUCAUUUGUUUUAUACGUUUCAAGUGACCCUCAAACUUAAGACUUGGCGGCGACCCCGGAGCUUAGUUUAGACAUUUUAAACUUUAAGAAUUUUUUUACUUAUUAUGAACUUUUCGGACUUUCGGACUUUUUAAUUUGUUUUUGGGACAUUAAUUUUGGUAUUUUUUUAUUUUGCAAACAUAAUAUUUUAAUUGGUAUUUCUAACAAAGUCGGUAUAACUGAUGAACCACUAUGAUUUUCAAAAUUAAAAACUCUAAAGAAAUUUUUUCAUUGCAUAUGUUUUGAAAUCAAUAAAGUGAGUAUGAGAUAUACCGGAAAAGCUGGCCUUGAGCCGGUGGUUAUUAACAGGCCUUAAGCAUGUGUUUAUUUAGCAGGCCUUGAGCCCGUGGUUAUUUAGCAGGCCUCGAGCCGGUGUUUAUUUAGUAGCCCUUGAGCUAGUGGUUAUUUAGCAAGCUUUGAGCCAGUGUAUAUUUAACAGGUACUAUGUACCAGUGAAGGAUACUGUACUGGUGGCUUGAGAUCCUACAUGUGUUGCGGAUUCUCUGAAGCUUGUGUGAGUAGCAUCAUGCAUCAGCUAAAGUCCUUAUCUUAGCUUGUAUGAGCAUUAUCCUUCUGUGUAUCCGAAUUGAAUUUACUAUUAAUAUUUGGGCAAAAUAAUUAACUAUUAAAAGAAAAAUGUUAUGAGAUGAUAUGUUAAUUUGUAUUUCAGUAGAUAUUUAUUUGACACAUUAUAUUUUGAUGAAUCUUCUAGGUUUAAGUGUUUUGGAAAGUUGAAACAAUGAUUUAUGGUAAGGGUUGUUGGUUUCAUGUUUUGUAUGUUUUAUAAUUGGAUUAAUAGGUAUGUCUUGUUUUGAUUUAUGAACUUACUAAGCUUAAUGAAAGCUUACUUUAUGUGAUUGUAUGUCUUUGUAGAUUGUCAAGUUUUUGUUGUCGAUUGGAAAGUCAUUGGAGAUCACACUAUCUGGCAACUCAUUCGGUAGUUAUUCGUUAAUUUUGGCCCGAUUAUAAGCGGUAUGUAAAUAGGGUUUUGGAUAUGUAAAUUAAUUAGUAUUUUGGUCCUAUCAUGGACACUUGAAAUUAUGGUUGUGUAUUGAUGUAAAUCAUAUUUGGUAACUUGGUUAGUUGUGGUUUGUGAUAGUGGUUGCAUAAGUUGAUAUCUAGAUGCAUUUAAAUGGUUGUAUUGGUAGUUUAGGUUAAUAGGCAACCUUGAAAUGCUUUGUGUUUGAAGAAUGAUUAAUUUAGUCAUGGUAAGAUAUGAUAUUAUGAUAAGUUGAAUGAACAUUUGAUGAUUUGAAUAUGAUUGAAUAUUGAUGUGUUAUUUUGCAUUUAAAGGAUGAAAGAAUUUACUUGUAGUACAUGUUAGAUUGGAUGAUGGGUGUUUAUGAUUCAAAUUGAGGUUCCAUUGAAGGCAUAUUGGUUAGACAUUUAGGUUGGAUGAUUUUAUUAUGUUUUGGCAUGUUUUAAUGUGUUUUGAAUAGGUAAAAAUGCUUGAAAAUGGUUUGGCUUCAAACUAUAAAAAUGGUAGAUGAAAAAUCUUGGUUUUGAAGUUAUUUUUGGUGCACACGGCCUAGGACACUAGCUGUCACAUGACUGUGUGCCACACAUGGUCGUCCACACGGCCGUAUGGUUGUUUGAUUUUAGGUGAAAGUUUUUUCACAUGAUCACAGUUAGUUACAUGGCCUGAGAACACUGGCAUGUGGGGUAGCCACACGGGCGUGUUUGGGGACACACGGACUAGCCUCUGUCGUGUGACCCCUUUUUACAGUUUGUUCAAAUUUUCAUAGAAAUUUCAAUUUAACCUAGAAUUGAUCCCGGUUUGUUUUAAAUGUUUCGUAAGCUUGAAUUAGGUCCAAAAUUGAUUGAAAAGCAUGGAAAUGGUUGAUGAUGAAUUAUUUUGAUUAUCUUUAAAUAAAUUAUGAAAAAUGUUAAAAUUUCAUAGCUGUAAGACCUUAUAGUCUGGGUUGGUAACCUGAUCGAGUAUAAGGUGUUACAAAGGUUCAAUUGUGACUGGUGUAGCAGUAAUUUCCUUGAAAAAUUAUGGAUUCAGAGUCAACUCACAUUGGUAUAAGAAAAUUGACUCUUUUAGGUUAAACAUUGGUUUUGCUAUUAAGAGUCUUUCAGUUUUCAAAGUUCAAAUACAAAUUUUGACUUGGUUAGUUUCUUGCAAAGGUUCAGGUAGGCUGUGACGGGUACAAAAAAUGAGGUAUGUGAAAAUACGAAUCAAGGUGGAGAUUUGUGGAGUGUGCCUCGUAUUUAUGAUACAACGUCACGACAAGAAAGAGACGACGACAUAGCACUCGAUGUCCCGAUGAGAAGAAAACGACGUGGUGAUGUGUUUCCCAAUUUAAUCGAAUUUUCUUCUCUUAGUUAAACUCUGUUAUUUUUUCGUAAUCAAACUUUGACUAGUCUAGGCUAUUUUAGUCAUAUUUAAUAUACAAAUUUAGCCAAUAGAAGGGGCCUUUGUAACCUAGAAUAAUCACUUAAGAUUAAUCUUCCUCAUCUUUAAGAUUGAAAGAGUUUCGUGAGCUUUUAGGGGAAUUUUGAGUUUUAGCUAGAGUGUUUUAUUUUUUGAGGUUUAGGGGUUUAGGUUUUUUAUUAAGAUUAUCUCCAUCUUGUGCACUUUUAGUUUUUGCUCAUUAAGUAAAUUCUCCUUUGUCCAUGAUUUUUUGUCCUCUUUAUUGAAGAAAUUUUUUCACGUAAAUAUUUGUGUGUUUUAUCUUCUCUACUCUUAUUUUCUCGUUGUUUAUACGGAUCGAUCCAAAAAAAAUACUACUAUAUUAAGAAACUAAAAGAUUGAAAAGCUAAAAUAAAGUAAAAUAUAUAUAUUUAAAAAAAUAUUUUUUUUACCGUAAUUAGCUCUUUGUGCAAGUUACAAGGAAUGGAAAUAGUUUUAGAUUGUUUUCUCACAAACACUAAAUUAUAUUCUUUAUUUUUAGAUUGUGUUUAUUGUUAUCUCCUUCUUCACUAAUUCUUAUCUCAAUCUCUAAGUUUUGAAAUAUAUGAAACAAACAAGAUAUAUAGACACAUCUUUUUGAAAAUUUUACCACAUAAUGGUCACCAUCAAAUAUAAGAACCAAAGAAAAUCAUUACUUUGAUUAAUUCAAGACAAAUACCAAACAAUAGUUGUGGAUGAACAAAUAUAAGAACCAAAGAAACAUGAUGGAUAAAAAGCCAAGAUAUGAAGCCAAUUUCUACCAUAAGGUUAAGGUUUGGUGUGGGUAUAAGGCAAAUCAUAAAGAGAGGAAUAACUGAAUUUAAUAAAUUUUCAAUAUCUUUAAAAUUUUGAUUCAAAGGAUUUAGACACAACAUCCAUUGACUCACAAUUUAAGUAAAAAAUGCAUAUAAUAUUAUGCUUAAAAGUGUUCAUGAACAAAGUGGCUCGGAUUUCUAUGAGUCAAACUCGAGUUUAACUUUCUCAACUUUAGGAUAGCCCGACCCAACCUAAUUUUAUUGUUAAAAAUCAAAUAUGAUAGAUGCAAUCCCAUGAACACCUCCAAUUACACUGCAACCACAAUAUUACACAACACAAAAUGAAAGUUUAAAAUGCAAGACUUAGUCAAUAGUAACACUUAUAAUUAAAGCUCCGACUAGAUAAAAACAGAUUCAAGAUAGCAAUGUAAAUAAAUUAUAGAGUAAGUAUGGCAUGAAACAAUUACGUCACAUUAGCAUAAGCCUUUUUCAAUCAAAUCAUGUCACGUAAUCGCAUUUCUAAAAACAAUCAACUAUUUAUUAAUUGAAUCUUUAAUGAAUUGCUAAAUUAAUUUGUUAUCAUUUAAUUAUCACAUGAAAUGUAUAAUUUAUUUUUUUAAUUUUUCAAAGUAUUCACGAGAGCAAACCAAUAAAAUGAUUGGUUAAUUUACUUCACAACAUUUUGCAUUUUCUAGAAGUUUAAGAAAGACUUUUAAGAUUUAAAAUAUAUUAAAAGGAAAUUACUACAAUUACCUUUCAACCUAAACUUUAGGUAAUUUUUAUUUUGAUUAUGGAUUGUAUAAAUUUAAUAAAGAAAAUGGGAAAAAAAAAGAAAUUAUACCUGUUAAAUUUGUAAUAGCCCAAUUUGCCCGGCCCAUAAUAAAAAACCAAAUAAUUUUUUUUUAAAACCAAAUAGUUCACAGCCCAUUUACAAUGUAAAAGUCCAGUUACGAAAAAUAAGCCCAAAUAUUACAGAGCCCAAUAAACCAAACCCAAGUGGCCCAAAUACCCUAGCAACAGUCGGCUCCCAGCACCACAGCAGCCAAACCCUCCUCUGCGCAUGCCAAUCCUCUGCCCUCACGUGCACCUUCGUACUCUCUACGUCCACCGCCUCCGUACACAGUACCUGCAAAUAGAACAAAAAUAACGCAACAGAAAAGAAAAAAUUGUAUUUUUUCUCUGUUUUUAUUUCAUUUUGAAUACGGGGUUAUAAAAGGGGGAGAAAAUAUUUGUAAGUUUUUCACAGAGACAAAAUCAUUAGAAAAAGAAAUCAAAAUUUGAGAUAAGGUGAUUUUUUCUUUUCUUUUUGCGUUUUUUUAUUUUUAUUAAUCGUAUGUAAAAAUAAAAAAUAAAAAAGGAGAAGAGGGAGGCUUACCUAGCCUUCAGAUCUGCUCAAAGGGGGUUAAAAAACCAACUCGGCGUGCCUCCGACCACCGAUCACGGCGAAACUGUGGUGGAAGUGUGGUGAAAAAGCGGCGGCUGAAGCUGGGGUAAAACCCGAGUAGAGAAAAAGCAACAACCCUUUUUUUAAAAAAAUAAAAAGCCUAGGCUGUAUUGGUUUUCUUUUUUUAGAAAAUUUUAGUUUAAAUACACAUAAUAUGACGCCGUUUCGAGUCAGGGUUCAUAGGCGUCAAAACGACGCCGUUUAAGGCCAUAACUCGCGCGACCCGACCCGCUCCUGAGGGAUCUGUUUUUGAGCUUUGUGAUAUUUAUCCCCUGGUACAUCCGCAUUUGCAGGGUGUUCCAAU